GGCAAGGUCGAAGCGGGACAGAAAGGGAGCUUGGCUCCCGGGAUGUUAGCGGCGGACGGGUGAGUAACACGUGGGUAACCUGCCUGUAAGACUGGGAUAACUCCGGGAAACCGGAGCUAAUACCGGAUAGUUCCUUGAACCGCAUGGUUCAAGGAUGAAAGACGGUUUCGGCUGUCACUUACAGAUGGACCCGCGGCGCAUUAGCUAGUUGGUGAGGUAACGGCUCACCAAGGCGACGAUGCGUAGCCGACCUGAGAGGGUGAUCGGCCACACUGGGACUGAGACACGGCCCAGACUCCUACGGGAGGCAGCAGUAGGGAAUCUUCCGCAAUGGACGAAAGUCUGACGGAGCAACGCCCGUGAGUGAUGAAGGUUUUCGGAUCGUAAAGCUCUGUUGUUAGGGAAGAACAAGUGCAAGAGUAACUGCUUGCACCUUGACGGUACCUAACCAGAAAGCCACGGCUAACUACGUGCCAGCAGCCGCGGUAAUACGUAGGUGGCAAGCGUUGUCCGGAAUUAUUGGGCGUAAAGGGCUCGCAGGCGGUUUCUUAAGUCUGAUGUGAAAGCCCCCGGCUCAACCGGGGAGGGUCAUUGGAAACUGGGAAACUUGAGUGCAGAAGAGGAGAGUGGAAUUCCACGUGUAGCGGUGAAAUGCGUAGAGAUGUGGAGGAACACCAGUGGCGAAGGCGACUCUCUGGUCUGUAACUGACGCUGAGGAGCGAAAGCGUGGGGAGCGAACAGGAUUAGAUACCCUGGUAGUCCACGCCGUAAACGAUGAGUGCUAAGUGUUAGGGGGUUUCCGCCCCUUAGUGCUGCAGCUAACGCAUUAAGCACUCCGCCUGGGGAGUACGGUCGCAAGACUGAAACUCAAAGGAAUUGACGGGGGCGCGUCACAAGCGGUGGAGCAUGUGGUUUAUUUCGAAGCACCGCGAGAACCUUACAAGGUCUGGAGGUCCUCGGACAACCCUAGAGAUAGGGCUUUCCCUUCGGGGACAGAGGGAAGGAGGUGCAUGGUGGCGUCGGUUCUUUCCAGAAAAGUUGGGUAAAGUCCCGCAACGAG
rnacentral:rRNA from 1 species